rnacentral:rRNA from 1 species
GACGAACGCUGGCGGCGUGCUUAACACAUGCAAGUCGAACGGAAAGGCCCUGCUUUUGUGGGGUGCUCGAGUGGCGAACGGGUGAGUAACACGUGAGUAACCUGCCCUUGACUUUGGGAUAACUUCAGGAAACUGGGGCUAAUACCGGAUAGGAGCUCCUGCUGCAUGGUGGGGGUUGGAAAGUUUCGGCGGUUGGGGAUGGACUCGCGGCUUAUCAGCUUGUUGGUGGGGUAGUGGCUUACCAAGGCUUUGACGGGUAGCCGGCCUGAGAGGGUGACCGGCCACAUUGGGACUGAGAUACGGCCCAGACUCCUACGGGAGGCAGCAGUGGGGAAUAUUGCACAGUGGGCGGAAGCCUGAUGCAGCAACCCCGCGUGCGGGAUGACGGCCUUCGGGUUGUAAACCGCUUUCGCCUGUGACGAAGCGUGAGUGACGGUAAUGGGUAAAGAAGCACCGGCUAACUACGUG